ACUGGGAGAGCAGAAGUCUAACUUACUUUGUGGUCUGGGACUUUAUUUUGGCAGAUUUGUUGCUUGGGUUUUUUCUUUUUGUAACUCAGUGGUGAUUGAAGUAUUGAGUCUGAAUCACACCAUCUUCCCAGAGCUAAUCAAGAUCAACGCUGCCCGGAUCAAUACAGUGACUAAAUCAGAUUUCCCCCAAAAAGUACAGCGGAGCCAUUACAGGAAAUCUCCAAAGGCAGCAAAAUCAUUUCUUGAAGCUCCCAGCUCUCCAGAACCACUCACACCAGUGGCACUGAUGGCAAUGUGGAGAGAGGCUUUUCAGGAUUUCUGACAAAUGAUUCCUUCAGAGUCUGGACACUUCUAUUGCCCACCACAAUUAAAUAUUCAUUAGACUUGGGAGACAUCAACCUCACCUUCAGCAGCUCGAAAGAGCAACCCAGGAAAUCUAAACAGUUUAGCUGCUCCUGCAUAUAAUCAUAUAA